rnacentral:lncRNA from 1 species
GGACACUGAAGGACUCAGAAGGAGACCAUGGCUGGAUUUCUCCUUUACACCCCAUCUCUCUUUGGCAUCAGAGCUGUAGUUCGAGCUGAAUGGACAGUCAUAACUAAAGAAAGUUGUAGCCAGGAUGUCUACAGAAGGGAGAAGAGAGUAACACCAAAUAGCCUUCCAGGAGAUGAUGGCAUCAAACAUAUUCAUUCACUAGAGUUUGCAGAUUCCUGUAGCUUUAUAAAUAAUUCACUUUGGUAAUGCCUCAUCAAGUGCACCAGAAUCACCUCAAAAGCCAGAGUAGCUAUAUUUUAAAAAUCCAAAGAAAAGCAUGUCAGGACUUUGGCUGGCCCUCUAUCUCCACAUUUGUUAUUAAGUUUUCCUUCCAAGAAGAGGGUG